GAAAAUUACUUUGGAAUGUUAUUGAGCCACUUUGAUUGAUGUUUAUGGAUAAAAAAAUAGUUGGUUAAUGAUGAUUAACAAUGUACAUUGCUUAUAAAGAGUGAUUUUAAUGAAUUUUGGGGAUAAUUAUUGGCUAAUUUUGUUAAUCAUUGUUUAUGACUAAAAUGUGGAUUAUUAUUAAUAAUUAAUGAUUGAUAUAAACUUAGUUAUUGUCAAAUUCUCUAAAUGGUACAUAAUUAUUACUCAUUUUGAUAAAUUGGUGGUUUUGACAAAUUUUGGGUAUCUUUAAAUGUCA
rnacentral:lncRNA from 1 species